rnacentral:rRNA from 1 species
CCUACGGGAGGCAGCAGUGGGGAAUAUUGCGCAAUGGGCGAAAGCCUGACGCAGCGACGCCGCGUGAGGGAUGAAGGUCUUCGGAUCGUAAACCUCUGUCAGCAGGGAAGUACGGUCACUGUGCUAAUCAGCAGUGAAUUGACGGUACCUGCAAAGGAAGCACCGGCUAACUCCGUGCCAGCAGCCGCGGUAAUACGGAGGGUGCGAGCGUUAAUCGGAAUUACUGGGCGUAAAGCGCUCGUAGGCGGUAUGUCAAGUCAAGGGUGAAAUCCCCGCGCUCAACGUGGGAACUGCCUGUAAAACUGGCAGACUGGAGUGUGUGAGAGGAUAGUGGAAGUCCAGGUGUAGGAGUGAAAUCCGUAGAUAUCUGGAGGAACAUCAGUGGCGAAGGCGACUAUCUGGCACAUAACUGACGCUGAGGAGCGAAAGCGUGGGUAGCAAACAGGAUUAGAUACCCCUGUAGUC